rnacentral:rRNA from 1 species
CCUACGGGAGGCAGCAGUGAGGAAUAUUGGUCAAUGGACGAGAGUCUGAACCAGCCAAGUAGCGUGAAGGAUGACUGCCCUAUGGGUUGUAAACUUCUUUUAUAUGGGAAUAAAAUGUUCCACGUGUGGGAUUUUGUAUGUACCAUAUGAAUAAGGAUCGGCUAACUCCGUGCCAGCAGCCGCGGUAAUACGGAGGAUCCGAGCGUUAUCCGGAUUUAUUGGGGUUAAAGGGAGCGUAGGUGGAUUGUUAAGUCAGUUGUGAAAGUUUGCGGCUCAACCGUAAAAUUGCAGUUGAAACUGGCAGUCGUGAGUACAGUAGAGGUGGGCGGAAUUCGUGGUGUAGCGGUGAAAUGCUUAGAUAUCACGAAGAACUCCGAUUGCGAAGGCAGCUCACUGGACUGCAACUGACACUGAGGCUCGAAAGUGUGGGUAUCAAACAGGAUUAGAUACCCUAGUAGUC